rnacentral:rRNA from 1 species
UUUUCCUACGGGACGCAGCAGUGAGGAAUAUUGGUCAAUGGGCGCGAGCCUGAACCAGCCAAGUCGCGUGAGGGAAGACGGUCCUAUGGAUUGUAAACCUCUUUUGUCGGGGAGCAAAAGACGCCACGUGUGGCGUUCCGAGAGUACCCGAAGAAAAAGCAUCGGCUAACUCCGUGCCAGCAGCCGCGGUAAUACGGAGGAUGCGAGCGUUAUCCGGAUUUAUUGGGCGUAAAGGGCACGCAGGCGGUCUUUUAAGUCUG